rnacentral:rRNA from 1 species
GACGAACGCUGGCGGCGUGCCUAAUACAUGCAAGUCGAACGCAGUGGGGACGGGUGAGUAACACGUGGGUAACCUCCCAUCAGAGGGGAUAACACGUGGAAACAGGUGCUAAACCGAUACUGAUGGAUGGAACGGCGGGGCAUUAGCUAGCUGGUGAGGUAACGGCUCACCAAGGCAACGAAGCAUCAGCGGCCUGAGAGGGUGAUCGGCCACACUGGGACUGAGACACGGCCCAGACUCCUACGGGAGGCAGCAGUAGGGAAUCUUCGGCAAUGGACGAAAGUCUGACCGAGCAACGCCGCGUGAAUGAAGAAGGUUUUCGGAUCGUAAAACUCUGUUGUUAGAGAAGCGGUAUCUAACCAGAAAGCAACGGCUAACUACGUGCCAGCAGCCGCGGUAAUUC